UUUUCAGUUGUGUCGGGCAGGAUAGACCACAAGGAUGCCUCUGAUGACACUGAUCCGAGCCUUUAAAAUGUAAGCAGAAAUGCCAGUUAAGCCAUCUUAAGUCUCUAUCCUUAACCCAUCCCAUCAUCCUUAAAGAUUGCUGCAUGUGAUCCCAAUGUCAGUCCUUAAAAAGAAAACUCAAGAGCAGAGAUGGUUGAAGAUAGAAGGUUUAAUUAUGAAACUUUUAACUUUUCAAAAAAUAUUCUUUUGGAAGAGAAAAAUUUCUAUAAAUAGCCUUUUCUGUUUUAAAGUUACACUGUACCUCUGGCAAUGUUUCCUGAAACAAUUUCAGCCCAGAGCCAGCUAAUGGCUUGGGAUCAUUUCUAUAGAUCUUGGUUUGCCUUUUUGUAUGUGUGUGGCCUUCAGGGAUGUUACAGUUUGCUGUUUAGUAAAUUGACUCACAGUUUGAAAGCAUUCUUUUGUCAUUAAACACACAUGAAAAGGGGGACUCUCUCCAGGCAGAAUGCACCAUCAGAUUGAAUGGACAAAAACUUGGAACCACCAUCAGUAUUAAGAAUCCUGGACUCAUCAUCUUCAAUCUGCUCAACUUAAAAAAAAAAAAAAAUCAGAGUCAGGUUUACUGUGGCUCAUCUUUCUGUUGCAUCAUUGAUUUAGAAAUGUUGCCAAGUACAUGUAAAUACGAAAUAAAAUGAACUUGG
ensembl:lncRNA